rnacentral:rRNA from 1 species
AUGGGGAGCUUCUGCUCCAAGGGAUCGGCGGUGGACAAGUCGCCCAGCGACACCACGCUCGGCCCCGACCGCGUGAUCCACCACCACGAGCGUGGCGCGGUGAAGGGGGAGGAGAGGAAGACGGUGGCGGAGGAGGCUGCUGCCAAGAGGAUGCACGAGCAGCCGCCACAGCAACACCAGCAGCCACCACAACAUCAACAACCACCACAGCAUCAACAACCACCACAACAACAUCAGCAGCAGCAGCAGCAACCACAGCGUAUCUCUGUCCCGGAAACUGCCGCUUCUGGUGCCAGCGUUGGCGCUGGCUCGGCGCCAUGGGAUGGUGUGCCUUCGCUGGCUCGGAAUCCGUCCCAGAAAGGGAUGGGCAUGGCGAAAGCUGGUGCUGCCAAGGUUUCGGAAGUAAGCUCAAUUCUGGGUAGGGCUGGUACUGUUGGGCUUGGCAAAGCAGUGGACGUACUAGACACACUUGGCAGUAGCAUGACAAAUUUGAAUCCAAGUAGUGGUUUUGGAUCAGGCGCUACAACAAAGGGCAACAAAAUAUCCAUUUUGGCAUUUGAGGUUGCUAAUACUAUAGUGAAAGGUUGCAAUUUGAUGCGAGCUCUUUCAAAAGAGAGCGUAAAACAUUUAAAAGAAGUGGUGCUUCAUUCAGAAGGUGUUCAAAAUCUUGUAGCCAAAGAUAUGGAUGAAUUGCUCAAGAUUGCUGCUGCUGACAAAAGGGAAGAGUUGAAAGUGUUCUCUACAGAAGUUAUUCGCUUUGGAAACCGUUGCAAGGAUCCUCAGUGGCACAACUUGGAUCGCUACUUCGACAAGGUGUCAUCAGAACGGACUCCUCAGCAUCACUUGAAAGAAGAGGCAGAGUCAGUGAUGCAGAAAUUGGUGACUUGUGUUCAAUAUACAGCUGAAUUAUACCAUGAAAUGCAUGCCCUUGACAGAUUUGAACAGGACUAUCAACGUAAACAGCAGGAAGAGGAUGGUUCAAGUGUUGCCCAAAGAGGUGAGAGUCUGCACAUACUAAAGCAGGAGGUCAAGAGCCAACAGAAGCAUGUUAAAAGUUUGAAGAAGAAGUCUCUCUGGUCCAAGAAUUUGGAAGAGGUUAUGGAAAAACUUGUAGACAUCGUGCACUUCUUGCAUUUGGAGAUCCAUAAUACCUUUGGGUGCUCAGAUAAUGAAGAAUCGCAGGAACCUACUAAACGACGUAAUAGAUUGGGUCCAGCAGGACUUGCGCUGCAUUAUGCCAAUAUCAUCAGUCAGAUUGAUGCUCUUGUUUCUCGCUCAACUUCUGUUCCUCCAAACACAAGGGAUUCAUUAUACCAGAGUUUGCCACCGACCAUAAAAUCUGCUCUCCGUUCUAAGCUACAUUCAUCUGGAGUUAAGGAAGAGCUUACUGUUCCUCAAAUCAAGGCGGAAAUGGAGAAGACAUUACGGUGGCUUGUCCCGGUUGCAAAUAACACCACCAAGGCUCACCAUGGCUUUGGUUGGGUUGGAGAGUGGGCAAAUACAGGGUCAGAGGUGAACUGCAAGCCGACAGGGCAUAUGGACCUCACCCGAAUUGAGACACUGCAUCAUGCUGACAGGGACAAGACCGAAGCGCAUAUCCUUGAGCUUGUCGUAUCGCUUCAGCAUCUCAUCAGUCAAUCCAGAGCCGCGAAUGGCGAGCGAUCUCCCAUCAAAUCUCCUGUUCGAUCUCCUACACAAAGGGGCCCUUCAAUCGCGUUGUCUCCAAACAAAGCGAGCAGUUCAUCACCUGUUCUGACACAACAAGAACAAGAGAUGCUAAGGGAUGUCAAGUACAGGAAAUUCGUUCCUGGUAUAAGCAAAAGCCAAGAGUUUGACACAAAGGCAAGGCAUAUGCAAAGCAGGUUGAUCAAAAGUAACAGCCAUUCACCAAGCAGUAGCAACAGGAAAGAAUUCCUCUCGAUCAGGAGUAUGCUUCCUGUCAUUAAUUUUGAAAUCGAUAGGACCAAAGCUCUGGAUAUGAUCGACAAUCUAAAAGUGCAGUGA